rnacentral:lncRNA from 10 species
GUAAGAGAGGAACUAAGGCAAAUUUCAUUUGCUUUCCGAUAUUGAAUUUGGCAUAGGAAAGUCUGCAUCAAAGAAAGGCCUGCUAGCAGAGAUGAAUAAGGCUGAAGAAGCAAGUCCCUGGAGAGAAAGGAAGAGAUGAGAGAGACCCCCAAGUUGUGUGAUCACCUCCAGCACACUGGAGACUGAGCCGUUUCACAAGAUGAAGUAAAUCUCCUGUCAAAGGAUUGGAGAGAAGGAACCAACCGUCUUUCACUCACCCACUUAGAACCUUCUGGAAGCCCUGACUGCCUUGCUGUAAGGUCGGCUGAAUGGAAAGAGACAAAGGCUGUUGGCCCUGAUAACAGAGGACAUGGAGAACACUGACGGGCCAGCACAGAGAGGUGUCAAACCUACAUUGCAGCCUGAAGGAUGUCUUCACUUCCUCCUGCUCCUUCGCCUUGUAUCCUUCAUAGAUUUUUCCCGCAAUAAAACUUUGCA